rnacentral:rRNA from 1 species
GCGUUAUCCGGGAUUUAUUGGGCGUAAAGCGUGUGUAGGCGGUCUAUUAAGUCUAAGAUCAAAAGUCCGAAGGCUCAACCUCGGUUCGUCUUAGAUACUGGUAGACUUGAGUGUGGUAGAGGCAAGUGGAAUUUCUAGUGUAGCGGUUAAAUGCGUAGAUAUUAGAAGGAACACCAGUGGCGAAGGCGGCUUGCUGGGCCAUUACUGACGCUGAGACACGAAAGCGUGGGGAGC